rnacentral:rRNA from 1 species
UACGGGGGGGGCAAGCGUUGUUCGGAAUUACUGGGCGUAAAGGGCUCGUAGGUGGCCAACUAAGUCAGACGUGAAAUCCCUCAGCUUAACUGGGGAACUGCGUCUGAUACUGGAUGGCUUGAGUUUGGGAGAGGGACGCGGAAUUCCAGGUGUAGCGGUGAAAUGCGUAGAUAUCUGGAGGAACACCGGUGGCGAAGGCGGCGUCCUGGACCAACACUGACACUGAUGAGCGAAAGCUAGGGGAGCAAACGGG